UACGAAGGGGGCUAGCGUUGUUCAGAAUUACUGGGCGUAAAGCGCACGUAGGCGGACUAUUAAGUCAGGGGUGAAAUCCCGGGGCUCAACCCCGGAACUGCCUUUGAUACUGGUAGUCUCGAGUCCGGAAGAGGUGAGUGGAAUUCCGAGUGUAGAGGUGAAAUUCGUAGAUAUUGGGAAGAACACCAGUGGCGAAGGCGGCUAACUGGUCCGGAUCUGACGCUGAGGUGCGAAAGCGUGGGGAGCAAACAGG
rnacentral:rRNA from 1 species